GAUGAACGCUAGCUACAGGCUUAACACAUGCAAGUCGAGGGGCAGCAUGACGAUAGCUUGCUAUUGUUGAUGGCGACCGGCGCACGGGUGAGUAACGCGUAUCCAACCUGCCCUUGUCCAACGGAUAACCCGUCGAAAGGCGGACUAACACGGUAUGCAGUUCUCAGCGGGCAUCUAACGAGAACGAAAUGGAAAGGAGAAGGAAGGGGAUGCGUCUGAUUAGCUUGUUGGCGGGGUAACGGCCCACCAAGGCGACGAUCAGUAGGGGUUCUGAGAGGAAGGUCCCCCACAUUGGAACUGAGACACGGUCCAAACUCCUACGGGAGGCAGCAGUGAGGAAUAUUGGUCAAUGGGCGAGAGCCUGAACCAGCCAAGUAGCGUGCAGGAAGACGGCCCUAUGGGUUGUAAACUGCUUUUAUACGGGGAUAAAGUGGGUCACGUGUGGCUUAUUGCAGGUACCGUAUGAAUAAGGACCGGCUAAUUCCGUGCCAGCCGCCGCAGUAA
rnacentral:rRNA from 1 species